UACGAAGGGGGCUAGCGUUGCUCGGAAUCACUGGGCGCAAAGGGUGCGUAGGCGGGUCUUUAAGUCAGGGGUGAAAUCCUGGAGCUCAACUCCAGAACUGCCUUUGAUACUGAAGAUCUUGAGUGCGGGAGAGGUGAGUGGAACUGCGAGUGUAGAGGUGAAAUUCGUAGAUAUUCGCAAGAACACCAGUGGCGAAGGCGGCUCACUGGCCCGAUACUGACGCUGAGGCACGAAAGCGUGGGGAGCAAACAGG
rnacentral:rRNA from 1 species